AUUGAACGCUGGCGGCAUGCCUUACACAUGCAAGUCGAACGGCAGCGCGGACUUCGGUCUGGCGGCGAGUGGCGAACGGGUGAGUAAUGUAUCGGAACGUACCAUUCAGUGGGGGAUAACGCAGCGAAAGUUGCGCUAAUACCGCAUAUUCUGUGCGCAGGAAAGCAGGGGAUCGCAAGACCUUGCGCUGAUUGAGCGGCCGAUAUCAGAUUAGCUAGUUGGUGAGGUAAAGGCUCACGAAGGCGACGAUGCGUAGCCGACCUGAGAGGGUGAACGGCCACACUGGGACUGAGACACGGCCCAGACUCCUACGGGAGGCAGCAGUAGGGAAUCUUCGGCAAUGGGCGAAAGCCUGACCGAGCAACGCCGCGUGAAUGAUGAAGGCCUUCGGGUUGUAAAAUUCUGUUAUAAGGGAAGAACGACUUUAGUAGGAAAUGGCUAGAGUGUGACGGUACCUUAUGAGAAAGCCACGGCUAACUACGUGCCAGCCGCCGCUGUAACAC
rnacentral:rRNA from 1 species